rnacentral:tRNA from 1 species
UCCCCUGUAGCUCAGCGGUAGAGCGGAUGACUGUUAAUCAUUAGGUCGUUGGUUCGAGCCCAACCGGGGGAGCCA